GGGGGGGGGGGGGGGGGGUUACUGUGCAAGUGUUACAAGCAGUGGAUCUUGUGCGUGUCUGAAUUGACUGAGGUGCAGAGCACGGUUGUGCCAAAAAUGUGGAUGCAGAGGGUUUCCAAAAGAUUAAUCGCUAUCAGCUAAAGAUUAAUCGCUAUCAGCUGCUUAGUCUAACUUCCCUGUCACGGCAAGCCCGACUGUCGUCAUGGCUUCCAAAACAGGGGUUGGGGCAAGCGGUAUUUGUGGCUUGCGUAUUCUCAUUUACCUUGCUUGUGUGCAUAUACUGAAUAACCAGUGAGGCCUAAAAUAGGAAUUUUUGUGGCUAGAUGGAUAAGCUGUGACCCCACCUGUCUUUUCUGUGCUUUGCUGCUUAAUGUCAUAACAGUGACUUGGGACCCCAGAAUAAAAACUGCUAGAGUGCUUAAGGGAGGAUCUGCAUUUGCCCAGGUUAGGGAACCAUCCUUAAAGCUUUGGUGGGGAGAAAAAGCUCCAAAAGGAGAGUCUGCCAGUGACUCUGGUGGUUUGAUUCAUUUGCAGGCUGCUGUUCUGAGGGCCAGCAACUCAAAGAGGAGCAGCUCAGCCCAUUUUGUUGCUUUCAGUGAUCCUGUUUUGAGGAAGCAUGUGCCAAAGCCCAGCUGGGCAGUCAAAGGAGCCUGGUCACAGCUGGGAGCUCUGCAGAGAUGCGCGGCCGGCCGUGGAGGAUGAGCUCUGACUUGCAGUGUGGACACAGCUAAGUCCUGGGCUGCAUCGUAUGUGAGCGGGGCUGGGAGGUGUGAGGCAGUUGUCCCCUGGGUGUGGUCACUGGCGUCGCUGGCUGUGGCUGUUUGCCCACGGAGCUGAGAGGACCAAACAUACUAAUUGCCUGACCCGGAGAUGAAUUAGUGCUUGCAGGCUUUCAGGUAGGUGCAGUGGAAGUGCAGCUUAGUGCAGUCCUGUGGAGUGAUUCUUGCACAUGCUCACAUUUGAAUGGUGGCUAAAAAACAAGCCUAUAAACAGCAACUGUAACACGAUCCUGGUGUGUGUCUUCCUGUUCUGCUAUGCUUCUAAAAGAAGGGGAAACUUCCUAAGCUGCGGGAAAAACUCCUUGGCUUCUCUUUACUGUUUUCAUGCUCAUGAGUGCUUUGGUGUUUCUUGCUUAAAGCCGAGGGUUUGGGAUUUUUCACUUAAGGUUUAUUGUUUAGUUUGUUGUUGAGGGUCUCUCACUCAGAAGUUAUGGGUUAUUACUUUAUUUUGUGGGGCUCAGCCUUUAUCAGUCAAGGGUUACGGUUUGCUCAUUUAGCGAUCAGGGCACAGAACUUAAAAUCCAACCCCAUCCGUAAAUUUUAAAGCUUUGGCAACCACUGGGGUUCUAAGACUUGCAGUUUGUCACUUAACAUUCAGGCUUAUGACUUGCUGAUAAAGGAAAAGGGCUAAAUCCUUAGAUAAUAAACUGUAAGCCCCGAAGGCUAAGCAGCAGGCUGUGAACCCUUCUUUGGGCUUGGUAACCUUCCCCCUGUACCCAGCAUUCAGCUCUGCACUGACCUGAGUGCUGGAUUGCAUAUGGCGCUGGCCUAUCACAGAGACUGGCAAUGUGAUGGGUGAGCUGAGAGCUGUGGAAGUGUCUUGCAGGGCAGAAGUGCAGACAGGUGGGAUCAGGCAUUUUCCUCUCAACUCUCAGAGCUGAAUCCUAUCCCUGAAGGAAAAAGCAGAGGAGUAGGCUGUCAGCUACUCAGACACCUGCCAUGUCAAGGGCAGCAGCAGGAGCUGACCCUUCCCUGACAAACAGAUGGAUGCUGGUGUGGUGAUGACUCUUCAGGUAUCACAGGUAAGGGAAAGCAUGCUGGCACCAAGCUCCAUGGCAGACUUGCUUUCAGGUGUUGUUUCUGCACAGUAAAACAAUAAACAGUUGCUUUAUUCUUUG